rnacentral:rRNA from 1 species
GACGUAGGGCGCGAGCGUUGUCCGGAUUUAUUGGCGUAAAGAGCUCGUAGGCGGCUUGUCGCGUCGAAUGUGAAAUCUCCGAGGCUCAACGUCUGACAUUGCAUUCGAUACGGGCAGGCUCGGAGUUGCGGUAGGGGAGACUGGAAUUCCUGGUGUAGCGGUGAAAUGCGCAGAUAUCAGGAGGAACACCGAUGGCGAAGGCAGGUCUCUGGGCCGAUACUGACGCUGAGGAGCGGAAAGCGUGGGGAGCGAACAGG